UACGAAGGGGGCUAGCGUUGUUCGGAAUUACUGGGCGUAAAGCGUGCGCAGGCGGCUUCUCAAGUCAGGGGUGAAAGCCCAGAGCUCAACUCUGGAAUUGCCUUUGAGACUGAGUGGCUUGAGUACGGGAGAGGUGAGUGGAAUUCCCAGUGUAGAGGUGAAAUUCGUAGAUAUUGGGAAGAACACCGGUGGCGAAGGCGGCUCACUGGCUCAUUACUGACGCUCAUGCGCGACAGCGUGGGGAUCAAACAGG
rnacentral:rRNA from 1 species